rnacentral:rRNA from 1 species
GAUUGAACGCUGGCGGUAUGCUUAACACAUGCAAGUCGAACGGUAACAGAACUAGCUUGCUAGUUGCUGCGUCGAGCGGCGGACGGGUGCGUAACGCGUAGGAAUCUGCCUAGUAGUGGGGGAUAGCCCAGAGAAAUUUGGAUUAAUACCGCAUACACCCUACGGGGAAAAGGAGGCCUCUUCUUGAAAGCUUCCGCUAUUAGAUGAGCCUGCGUCGGAUUAGCUAGUUGGUGAGGUAAAGGCUCACCAAGGCGACGAUCCGUAGCUGUUCUGAGAGGAUGAUCAGCCACACUGGGACUGAGACACGGCCCAGACUCCUACGGGAGGCAGCAGUGGGGAAUAUUGCACAAUGGGCGAAAGCCUGAUGCAGCCAUACCGCGUGUGUGAAGAAGGCCUUAGGGUUGUAAAGCACUUUCAGUGGGGAGGAAAGGUUAGUCGUUAAUAUCGGCUAGCUGUGACGUUACCCACAGAAGAAGGACCGGCUAACUCCGUGCCAGCAGCCGCGGUAAUACGGAGGGUCCAAGCGUUAAUCGGAAUUACUGGGCGUAAAGCGUGCGUAGGCGGUUUGUUAAGUGGAAUGUGAAAGCCCCGGGCUCAACCUGGGAACUGCAUCCCAAACUGGCAAACUAGAGUGCGGAAGAGGAGUGUGGAAUUUCCUGUGUAGCGGUGAAAUGCGUAGAUAUAGGAAGGAACACCAGUGGCGAAGGCGACACUCUGGUCUGACACUGACGCUGAGGUACGAAAGCGUGGGGAGCAAACAGGAUUAGAUACCCUGGUAGUCCACGCCGUAAACGAUGUCAACUAGCCGUUGGGUCCGCUUGCCUCCUUAGUGGCGCAGCUAACGCAAUAAGUAGACCGCCUGGGGAGUACGGUCGCAAGAUUAAAACUCAAAUGAAUUGACGGGGGCCCGCACAAGCGGUGGAGCAUGUGGUUUAAUUCGAUGCAACGCGAAGAACCUUACCAGGUCUUGACAUCCUGCGAACUUACUAGAGAUAGUUUGGUGCCUUCGGGAGCGCAGUGACAGGUGCUGCAUGGCUGUCGUCAGCCUCGUGUUGUGAAAUGUUGGGUUAAGUCCCGUAACGAGCGCAACCCUUGUCCUUAUUUGCCAGCACGUAAUGGUGGGAACUUUAAGGAGACUGCCGGUGACAAACCGGAGGAAGGUGGGGACGACGUCAAGUCAUCAUGGCCCUUACGACCUGGGCUACACACGUGCUACAAUGGCCGGUACAGAGGGUUGCCAAGCCGCGAGGUGGAGCUAAUCCCAGAAAGCCGGUCGUAGUUCGGAUUGGAGUCUGCAACUCGACUCCAUGAAGCCGGAAUCGCUAGUAAUCGUGGAUCAGCAUGCCACGGUGAAUACGUUCCCGGGCCUUGUACACACCGCCCG